rnacentral:rRNA from 1 species
AGAUUGAACGCUGGCGGCAUGCCUUACACAUGCAAGUCGAACGGUAGAGUAGCAAUACUUGAGAGUGGCGAACGGGUGAGUAAUAUAUCGGAACGUGCCCAGUCGUGGGGGAUAACGUAGAGAAAUUUACGCUAAUACCGCAUACGAUCUAAGGAUGAAAGCGGGGACCGUAAGGCCUCGCGCGAUUGGAGCGGCUGAUAUCAGAUUAGGUUGUUGGUGAGGUAAAAGCUCACCAAGCCGACGAUCUGUAGCUGGUUUGAGAGAACGACCAGCCACACUCGGGACUGAGACACGGCCCAGACCUCCGUACGGGAGGCAGGCGAGGUGGGAAUUUGGACUAAGUGGGACGAAAG